AGAUCGCUUCAUGCCUAUCAGCCUGCAGCACAUUCCUCGCAUUCUAGGAUUGAGAUACACAGUUUGGUUCUUGUGAGGGCAGCCAGGGCUGGGGAGGAGGGCAGAGAACAUCCCAGAGAUCAAGACUGCUCUUCUUGCUCCCUCCCCGACUGACUUGGCCCACACUGACUGGCCUGCCACCCCUUUACAGUGAUCUCCACCCAGUCUCUCUCUGCAAAGGCCUCCCUUGGCUCUCUGAUAAAGUUGGAGCUGUGGGUGCAGCAUUUCACUUGGACCUAGCAGCAUCAAUGAGCCAGCUCCUCACUGGGGAACAUGCAAACCCCCAGCUGCUGGUGUGCAGGAAAAGAAUCCAGGAGAUCACCUGAUGAAGCCCAGCAUUUUACAGAUAGGCAGUGGAGCAGGGGAAUCCAGUUGACACUGUGGCUAAAUUUCAGAAAACCUCCCAUGAGAUCUUGCAAAGGAGAUGGAGAAAAUAUGGCUGAAUGCCAGCAAGAGCAAAGUGGUGAAAGGACCCUGGUGAGAGGCCCAAAGAACAGGAGGUGUGAGCCAAGAGAAGGUCCUGCCAGGCCUAUGUUGCAGGCUAUUUGGAGGCUGAACUUGAGGUUGACGCAGAAUUAACUGUUGCAUGAGAUGUGGGGUAUGAGAGAAGGCCUGAGUACCUAGAAGGAUUGGGAUGCCAUGAACUGACAGAGGUUGUGUAAUAGUGUGAUAUAAUAAGAAAUACAUGGUGGGCAUGGUGGCUCAAGCCUGUAAUCCCAGCACCUUGGCCACCACUGCAGGACCAUUGCUUGAGUUCAGGAGUUUGAGACCAACCUGGACAAUAUAGUGAGACCUCACCUCAAAAAAAAAAAAAGAAGAAGAAGAGGAAAUACAUAUUUGAUCUCUGCCCCUGGUUCUUGAGACAGAGCUCCUAAAACUUUUAUGAUUCCCUAAGUGACAAGAUCACCUGAUGCAGAGCUCCUAAAUCCCUUGGAAUUUCCUGGAGGACAGGAGCAUCUUUUGUUCUAAAGGUCACUCUUGGUGGACUCCUCAAUAGCCUCAUGAUGGGGGCUGGUAGCCAGGGGAAUCAACCGUGUGAUUACAGUAGAACUUUCAAACCCCACUGACCUGACCUCUGGGGAAGAGAGGGGGUGCUAAAGAUGAGCUAAUCACCAAUGGUCAAUGAUUUAAUCAGUCAUGCUACACAAUGAAGCCUCUAUAAAACCCCAAAAGGACAGGGUUCAGAGAGCUUCCUGGUUGAUGAAUCAGUAGAGGUGCUGGGAGGAUGGCACACCUGGAGAGGGCAUGGCACUCUGUGCCCCUUCCCACAUACCUUACAUUAUGCCUCUCUUCCAUCUGGCGUUCAUCCACAUCCUUUUGUAAUAUCCUUUAUAAUAAAUGGGUAAAUGUAA
rnacentral:lncRNA from 1 species